GUUAUUAUCAUCCUUUAAGCCCUACAUCUGAAUGGUUCCACUGGUUCAGCACCAUUCCCUGCAGAAUGAACUCCCCAUAAGGGAACCUGUCAGGGACAUAAGAUAUCCAAAUGACAGCAGUCUUCAUAGAAGAAAGUGCUUACAAUGAAAUACUGAAAUGAACUGGGUGAGGUAUUGUGGAUAUAAUUUUAAUGAAGUAAAAGUCACAAGAAUUAGAAUGAACUGCUAAUGCACAGCUGAGAACACGUCUAUAAGGCAAGCCCUUCAACAUGAAAUCCCUCAUGCUGUAAUUUCCUAAUCUGCUGAAGGAGGAAGCUUCUAUGACAGCUGCUAGGCAAGGCACUGAUCUGCGUGCUUUCAGUACUCAGAACUCGGCCAUCUGGACUGAAGCCUUCUCUGCACCAAUUAUCACCUCUGCCCCAUCAGCUCUCUCUCAAAAUGCCUUCAGGAAAUUUCAGAUCAGCUGACCAUCUGUCAGGACCAACUCGAUCUUUUGGCUGCUGCCGUUCUGUAGAACUAGACCUGACUACUGCUCAGGGAUACGUGACAGCAAUGGUGUGAUCCAUCACAGAAGGUCAAGUUAAAACUCUCCUCCUAAUAAAAGACCAGAGGACCCCCUCUUCCUGACCCCCUGAACA
rnacentral:lncRNA from 1 species